AUUGAACGCUGGCGGCAUGCCUUACACAUGCAAGUCGAACGGCAGCACGGGUGCUUGCACCUGGUGGCGAGUGGCGAACGGGUGAGUAAUACAUCGGAACAUGUCCUGUAGUGGGGGAUAGCCCGGCGAAAGCCGGAUUAAUACCGCAUACGAUCUACGGAUGAAAGCGGGGGACCUGCGGGCCUCGCGCUAUAGGGUUGGCCGAUGGCUGAUUAGCUAGUUGGUGGGGUAAAGGCCUACCAAGGCGACGAUAAGUAGCUGGUCUGAGAGGACGAACAGCCACACUGGGACUGAGACACGGCCCAGACUCCUACGGGAGGCAGCAGUGGGGAAUUUUGGACAAUGGGGGAAACCCUGAUCCAGCAAUGCCGCGUGUGUGAAGAAGGCCUUCGGGUUGUAAAGCACUUUUGUCCGGAAAGAAAUCCUUGGUCCUAAUAUGGCCGGGGGAUGACGGUACCGGAAGAAUAAGCACCGGCUAACUACGUGCCAGCCGCCGCCGUAAAAC
rnacentral:rRNA from 1 species